rnacentral:rRNA from 1 species
GGUCGGGAGGGGAGGGCCUCUGGGUCACCUCCCACCCGUGUUUAUUUUACCUUGUUGCUUCGGCGGGCCCGCCUUAACUGGCCGCCGGGGGGCUUACGCCCCCGGGCCCGCGCCCGCCGAAGACACCCUCGAACUCUGUCUGAAGAUUGUAGUCUGAGUGAAAAUAUAAAUUAUUUAAAACUUUCAACAACGGAUCUCUUGGUUCCGGCAUCGAUGAAGAACGCAGCGAAAUGCGAUACGUAAUGUGAAUUGCAAAUUCAGUGAAUCAUCGAGUCUUUGAACGCACAUUGCGCCCCCUGGUAUUCCGGGGGGCAUGCCUGUCCGAGCGUCAUUGCUGCCCUCAAGCACGGCUUGUGUGUUGGGCCCCGUCCUCCGAUCCCGGGGGACGGGCCCGAAAGGCAGCGGCGGCACCGCGUCCGGUCCUCGAGCGUAUGGGGCUUUGUCACCCGCUCUGUAGGCCCGGCCGGCGCUUGCCGAUCAACCCAAAUUUUUAUCCAGGUUGACCUCGGAUCAGGUAGGGAUACCCGCUGAACUUAAGCAUAUCAAUAAGCGGAGGAA